ACUCGGGAAACUGAUACAGAGUUGAUAGAAGUGAGACAAAGUGGCAUCAACUUCAUGGACCCUAUAAAGUUACAGAGAAGGAAGAGGUUGUUUGCUAUCCUGAGAGAAAUUAGGGUGGGUAAAUCCUUAGGACUGGAAAGUAGCCAGUGUUGUUUCACUGUUUAACCAGGAAAUUACAGGGUGGUAAGACUGACAUCAGUCGUGGAAGAUAUUCUAUGGUAUGGAAGAUAUUUGGAUAGACAUGAAGUGAUUAAAGGUGAUCAAGAUGGCUUCAUUUGUGGUAGAUCAUGUCUAACCAAUCUUGUAGAGUAUUUUGAGGAAGUUAUCAGAAAUUUGGAUGAAGGCAUUUGACAGGUUCCUGCAUGGGAGGUUGGUCAAAAAGGUUCAAUAGCUCAGCAUUCAAGGUGAGGUAGUAAAUUGGAUUAGACAUUGACUUUGUGAGAGAAGCCAGAGAGUGGUAGUAGAUGACUCUAACUGGGGAACUGUGACUAGAGGUAUGCUACAGGGAUCGGUGCUGGGUCUGUUGUUGUUAGCAUCUAUAUUAACAGUUUGGAUAAUAAUAUGGUUAACUGGGGAUGACACUAAGAUUGGGGGUGUUGUGGACAGCAAGGAAGACUAUCAUGGCUUGCAGAGGGGUCUGGAUCAGCUAGAAAAAUGGCAGAUAGAAUUUAAUAGAGACAAAUGCGAGGUGUAGGACGAACCUAGGUAGGUCUUGCACAGUGAAAGGUAGCGCUCCGAGGAGUGUGGUAGCACAAAGGGGUCUGGGAAUAUAGGUACAUAAUUCAUUGAAAGUGACGUCACAGGUAGAUAGGAUCAUAAAGAAAGCUUUUGGUACUUGGGCCUUCAUAAAUCAAAAUAUUGAGAGCAGGAGAUGGGAUGUUAUGUUGAAGUUGUAUAAGACAUAGGUGAGGCCUAAUUUGGAAUAGUGUGUACAGUUUUGGUCACCCACCUACAGGAAACAUGUAAACAAGGUUGAAAGAGAACAGAAAAAAAAUUCACAAGAGUGUUGUUGGGUCUGAAGGACCUGAGUUAUAAGGAAAGAUUGAAUAGGUUUGGACUUUAUUCCUUGGAGUGUAGAAGAUUGAGAGGAGAUUUGAUAGAGGUAAACAAAAUUAUGAGGGGUAUAGACAGGCUAGAUGCAAACAGGUAUUUUCAGGUAGGACAAUAACCAGAGAUCAUGGGUUAGGGGUGAAAGGUAAAAAAUUUAAGGGGAACAUGAGGGGAAACUUCUUCACACAGAGGGUCAUGAGAAUGUGGAAUGAGCUGCCAGCCCAAGUGGUGCAUGCAAGCUCGAUUUCAAUGAUACAUGGAUAGUAGGGAUAUAGAGAGCUAUGGUCCUGGUGCAGAUCAGUGGGAGUAGGCAGUUUAAAUGGUUUUGACAUGGACUAGAAGGGCUGAAGGGCCUGUCUUUGUGCUGUGCUUUUCUAUGACUCUGAUCAUUUUUAUCUAGUCAAUGGCAUCAAGUUUAUGGAAUUGGUAGCAUUGACUAAACUUCAUAUUUCCAUUUCCAUGUGCUUUCCAUAUGUAUUAAUAUUCAUGUAUGUAAUUAGACUCGUUAAUAUUAAAGAUAAUUUUGUUAGAGAAAUUAAUAAACCAAUUAAAAGAAAGAUUUUUCCAAGAUGAAUAGUAGUUUUAUCCUGAAUUUCAAGUGAAUCUGUAAGUGGAUUCACACUGAGACAGAACUUGAAUUGCCUCUUGCAUAUGUGAUUUUAACUGUAAGGAUGACAUAUAUGAGAAGGAAAUUUAGAAGGAAAAAUAGUAAAAAAGAUAAAACAUUCUUAGAAAAGAUGAUCUUGAUUUUAAUCUUCAUCUGUUUCCUCAUCUUCAUUGAGCAGUCUUCAACAGAUACAUCAAACUGCCUGAAUUCCACAUUUCUCUCUGUAGGAAGAACAUGGGCCAUUCUUAAAUCUAUUGUAAACUUCAAAGUUCAAAAUACAUUUAUUAGCAAAGUAUGUAUAAAUUAAUGCAACCUUGAAAUUUGUCUGCUUACAGGCAGCCACAGAACAAGAAAUCCCCCAAAAAAAUUUAAAAAUGGACUAAGGCCGGAAGUGCAGAGAGAAGGAAAAAAGCGCAAAUCAUGCAAACAAUAAAAGGAAGUAAUAGCAUUCCGAACCAAAUUGAAUCCAUAGAUCUGGAGCUUAGAACAACCAGAAUAGGCUCAAAGCCUCAGUGUCAGUUUUUCAUAAUAGUGGAGCAAAUCGUCAUGAAGUUCGUAGACACAAAGCGUGUAGCAGCCAAAGCAGUCUCAAAGCCUCAGCGCUGAGGAGAGAGGAGGAAUUUGUCACGGAACAAUACUGGCUAUAGUAAACUUGUCCAUUUUGUGACUUGUGUUUGAGCAGAAUCAACAUUGUACACCAUAAGAAGAAAACUAUAGUGUUAUUUUAUAUUUGAUGUUUUGAAAGAGAGGACAUCCAUGGAUAUGAUGUGCCAGUUUGGCUGUGUUUCAAAUACUAAUCAAACUUGAUGGUGUAUUACAUAUCCCUAGUAUGUGCUUGUGGCACAGAUUUUAGAUGAAGCAUGCAUGAGAUUUGAAUCUUUCAUAUUUCAUACUUCGUGAAGCUCUGCAGAGAAUUACACAUUCCACAAGCCUAUAUCUUCGGUGUAAUAGAACAGAUAAUUGAAUAUUUAUAAUGUGCUGUGGCUCAUGCAGGCAGUGUAUCAAAUUUAAUAACAAAUUUAAUAAUUAGUUAUAAUAGAUAUAACAUUGAACUCUGUACUUAUAAUAAUUAUACUUUAAUAGAUAUAACAUUGAACUUUGUACAUUAACAUUAUUGUUAGACAAAGACAUAAUCUAUUUUACUUAACUAAACAUGGCAAGUAAACGUGAUUUGCAGUAGAUUACAUCAUUAACCUUAUCUUGCUAAAUAGCAUGAAAACCUAGGAAGACUGUAAUGUCCUGGUGAAACCUUUCAUCAUGCUCCUCAUUGACAGUGCUAGGAUUUGAAUUGAAUUGACUUUAUUUCGUACAUCCUUCAUAUACAUGAAGAGUAAAAAUCUUUAUGCUACUUCUCCGUCUGAAUGUGCAAUUUAUAGUAAUUUAUAAUAAAUAGUAAGUACAACAGGGCAGUCGAUAAUAGCAUAAAAAUACAAGUGUAUCAGCAUGAAUUAAUCAAUCUGAUGGUCUGGUGGAAGAAGCUGUCCCGGAGCCUGUUGGCCCUGGCUUUUAUGCUGUAGUACUGUUUCCUGAGUGGUACCAGCUGGAAUAGUUUGAGGUUAGGGUGACUCAGGUCCCCAAUGAUCCUUCGGGCCCUUUUUACACACCUGUCUUUGUAAAUGUCCUGAAUAGUGGGAAGUUUACACCUACAGAUGUGCUGGGCUGUCCACACCACUCUCUGCAGAGUCCUGCGAUUGAGGGAAGUACAGUUCCCAUACCAGGCAGUGAUGGAGCUAGUCAGGAUGCUCUCAAUUUUGCCCCUGUAGUGUGUUCUUAGGAUUUUGCAUAUCCAUACCAAACUUCUUCAACAGUCUGAGGUGAGAGAGGCACUGUUGUGCCUUUUUCACCACACAGUCAGUAUGUACAGACCACGUGAGAUCCUCGGUGAUGUGGAUGCCGAGGAACUUAAAGCUGUUCACCCUCUCAACCCCAGAUCCAUUGAUGUCAAUAGGGGUUAGCCUGUCUCCAUUCCUCAUGUGGUCCACAACCAGCUCCUUUGUUUUUGUGACAUUGAGGGAGAGGUUGUUUUCUUGACACCACUGUAUCAGGGUGAUGACUUCUUCUCUGGAGGCUGCCUCAUUAUUAUUUGAGAUUAGGCCAAUCAUUGUAGUGUCUUCAGCAAAUUAAUACUGUGUCUUCAACACAGUAUGGGUAUACAGAGAGGAGGUUUAGGACAUAGUCCUGAGGGGCACCUAUGUUGAGGGCCAGAGGUGAGGCGGCCCACUCUUACCACCUGCUGGUGAUCUGACAGUAAGUCCAGGAUCCAGCUACACAAGGUAGGGUGAAGGCCGAGGUCUCUGAGCUUCUUGUCGAGCCUGGAGGGAAUUAUAGUGUUGAAUGCUGAACUGUAGUCCAAGAACAGCAUUCUCACAUAAGCAUCCUUCUUCUCCAGGUAUGUAAGGACAAUGUAUCAACAGUAAGGACAGUAAGGAUAAUAGAUAUGGCUAUUGCAUCAUCUUUUGAUCAGUUGUAUUGGUAGGUCAGUUGUAAGGGGUCCAGUGUGAGUGGUAACAUGCUGUAGGUGUCGUCCUUGACCAGCCUCUCAAAGCUUUUGUUUAUUAUUGAAGUGAGUGCGACAGGACGCCAGUCAUUCGGACAUGUUACCUUGGUCUUUUUAGGUACAGGAACAAUAGUGGAUGUUUUGAAGCAGGAGGGGACUCUACACUGAAAAAGGAGAGAUUAAAAGAAGUCUAAAUGGGAAUGCAGAAAAUUAAUUUAUAGUCACACCUUGCACUUUGAGGUUUUGUAUGCUUGAAGCAUGUUGUCGACCAGCUGCACACAGUUUGGUUGCCAAGAAAAUUUUCAGCAGCAUCCUUGAAUUCCUUCCAUGUGGUUUUCUCCAGUUCCACUAGAAAUUCUUCAAGUUGCCUGUCAUUGAUAACCUUUCCCACUGUGUUACACGUAACCUGGAUUGUCCUCACCGCAGAGUCUCAGGUUAGGAGAAAAUGAAAUCAAAACUGGAUUUUCAGUUUAAAGUCAGGGCUUUAUGCUUUGUCUCUUGGCAGGGUCACCCAUGCCAAGCAGGUCAAGGGGACGAGGCCAGACUAAGAGUUGUCCACUGGUCCUCCGGAUUUCGAUGUUCAGCUCAGGACUAACAACCCUAACUGGUAAAAUAAAACUGUCACGGAAACAACAAUGAAGAAUCCUUCUACAUCUGAGUGCAAUGGUAUUCCUGAGUCUCCACCUGGUAUUUGCAUGACUGGCAGUAGUGAAAACCAAGAGGAAGCUACUGACAUGAUGAAGGAAGCCCUGAACACCGGAGGUAGAAGACCGGCAUUGCUGCUUUAAAUGCCAGCAGUGUGCAGCCUCAAAACAUAGAAGCCUCAAAAGAACCCAUCCAGAAAAAAGACUGUCAAACACCCAGUGUGCAGAGAGAGAGUGAAAGUAACAAAUGAUGCAAACAAUAGAAGUAAGCAAACAGCAUUCACAACUGGAAUGUUAUGGAAGACACAAUGCCAGACAUCAUUGCAAAAGCCACACCUCAACGUAAAGCCGAGUAAACGUUGUGAGGCCACAGGCGCAAAGCUAGGUAUCACUGCAGCUAGCACUACAGUUCAGCACAGAGCUGAGUAAAUGUCUCGGAGCAGUGAAUAGAACCCGCCUUCGCUUCACGUCCUGACCAUUUCAAUCUGACCCGGCACUUAGAUCAUCCAAACAUCAGGCCAUUCCUAACUCUUGGACCACUCUGAGGCCUGGGUCCCGCCGCAACGAUUCAGCCUAUAGGUGACCUUUCAAAUCCAGCCUGGCACAAUAAUCGAUCAGACAUCAGGACUUCUCACACUCUUGGGGAUGGCCAAACUCUGCUUUGAUUCUUCUUUGAUCCUGACUCAGCUUAUCCAUGACCAGGCCUUCCUUGCACCAACCGCCACCGUUCACUUCCGCUUGCCUCGACCACCCUUUGAACACCUCUCCAUUAUUCAUGUUGAUCGUUACUAAGUAUCUAGUAGCUUCCUUUGUUAUUCAUUAUUUUCUUCAAAUUUACAGGUUAAGGUGGGCGCUGGUGCCAGAUGUUGAAGGGUCUGAAGGAAGAGAAGUGAGUGCAGUUACUAUUACAAUGGAGAAGGUGCUCAAAAAGCUGAAAUUCCGAAGUCAACCAAACCAGAUAAGCUGCACCCUAGGGUUCUGAACGAGGUAGCUGUAGAGAUUAUGGAGUUAUGUGCACAUUCUUUUGGAGAAGGCUGUGCCACAGAAGAUGGGACAAAUCGGCCCAAUUCUUAGCCAGGACAAAAAUUACAUCUUGAAAUGUAACACCAAAAAACAGUUAUAAUUGCUGUCCUAUAAUUAUGAUGAAAACACACAGCUCUGAGUUUGUUUUAAAAGGCAGUGUGCCUUUUUUUCUGGUAAGAUGGAGGUGUAUGUGUACAGAGCAGCCUUUCAGGGUCCAACCAAAGGUGCUUUUCUCUGUAAAGUUGUUUACAAUCUAAAGACCAUUCUAUUCCGAGAACAUUGGGCAUUUCAUUUGUGAUCACAAGACUCUGGUGGGCAAUGAUCAUGUAUGUUGCCACUGGCCUGUUCCCCUUGUCUGGUGGAGAGACAGUUGACAUGGGAGCUGCGUUGCUUCAGCUGAAGCGAGAACUUGGCCUCAGGCCUAGGGUUUGCCUGCUGCUGCAGACCAAGUGCGAGACGCGGAAGCACGACAGCAUGGUUGAGCUUGGCUGGGGCCUGGCCUCGCCCAUCAGUGCUGCCCUCCCGUGUUCAAGUGGUGGAAUGACAGGCUAGAUUGAAUGCAUCUGUACACUGCCCGGAGACUACCAUCGAUUGCUGGACAUCGUCACUCAGGGUAUGUACUUUAUAUGUUUUUUUUUGAGUGAAUAGGCUUCUUUGCAUGAUAUUUUGAAUUAUGUUAUUCGCUAUUUUUGAAUGCUUGCUUGCUAUUUUGAAUAUUUUACAUUGUGGCUCAAUGUUUUCAGCUGUAUCUAUGUAUGGUUUUACUUGAUUUGAUUUGAAUGUGGACCUUUGUAAGACUUCAUUCAAUUUAUAAAGGGAAAAAUGCUGCUGUUUGUAAAAUAAGAGGAGAUAUUACACUGGCAAAUUUGUUUGGAAAAUGGUUUUUGUGCUUGUAAUGCCAUUCUCAGAUUUUAGCUCAAAAUCACUAUUCUGAUAACAUAUUAAAAAUUAAAUGAUUUAAAAUGUAUUUAAUUACUUGCAAACUAUGAAAUUUUGAGGACAUUUUAACAUAACUGUUGGGGCCUCAUUUUGCUGAGGUGCUGAUUCCAGAUGCUCUUCCUUGUCAGAAGUUUUGCAGAAUUGUAACUUGAAUCAUAAGGCAAGGUUCUGCUGUAAAAUGCAGGGAAUUGGCAAUCAGUCCUUAUCAUGAAAAUUGUAAAGACAUCAGGGGUUUUCAUGUUCAUGCCUACUUGUAUGCAAGUUCUGGGCAUUGACAGGUGGAUUUGUUGGCAUUCUUCUGGAAAAUCAAGCUAAUAUUCCUUAAUUCUUCUUGUGUAAUACAACAAUCUUAGAUUGUUUGUUUGGUUUAAUGAGAAGUAUAUUGGUACAGAACUUCCACUGGUAAUGGGUGAGCUGUCACUUCCUAGUGUUAUUACUGUGCCAAUGCACAAGCAACUUUUGUGUACCAGAGAUCUGAAAGCCACCUUUAGUUAAGUCCUUCUCUGCAGGAUCUAAUGCUGCAGUCUAGGCAGAGAUAAUCAACAUGGAAUGCCAGUAUACCAAUGGUAUGCCAAUAUCUUAAUCUCUCCCAUGGCUGAUUUCACUGCAAAGUAUUGUAACCAUUAAGCCUACUGAUGGUUAACUAUUAAUUAUUCAGUAUUCUAUUAAUUGUUGAACAGCUUAGCUGAUGUGAAAAAUUGAUUGUUAUCCUCUCAGAACAGCAUUUACUUAUUCGAUGACUUCAUUUAAUAAUAAAAUAUACUUUUGAAAGAUUAUAAUGGCUCAUUUUUGCCUUAAUCCUAUUUGCCUA